AGAGUUUGAUCAUGGCUCAGAUUGAACGCUGGCGGCAGGCCUAACACAUGCAAGUCGAACGGUAACAGGAAGAAGCUUGCUUCUUUGCUGACGAGUGGCGGACGGGUGAGUAAUGUCUGGGAAACUGCCUGAUGGAGGGGGAUAACUACUGGAAACGGUAGCUAAUACCGCAUAACGUCGCAAGACCAAAGAGGGGGACCUUCGGGCCUCUUGCCAUCGGAUGUGCCCAGAUGGGAUUAGCUAGUAGGUGGGGUAACGGCUCACCUAGGCGACGAUCCCUAGCUGGUCUGAGAGGAUGACCAGCCACACUGGAACUGAGACACGGUCCAGACUCCUACGGGAGGCAGCAGUGGGGAAUAUUGCACAAUGGGCGCAAGCCUGAUGCAGCCAUGCCGCGUGUAUGAAGAAGGCCUUCGGGUUGUAAAGUACUUUCAGCGGGGAGGAAGGGAGUAAAGUUAAUACCUUUGCUCAUUGACGUUACCCGCAGAAGAAGCACCGGCUAACUCCGUGCCAGCAGCCGCGGUAAUACGGAGGGUGCAAGCGUUAAUCGGAAUUACUGGGCGUAAGGCGCACGCAGGCGGUUUGUUAAGUCAGAUGUGAAAUCCCCGGGCUCAACCUGGGAACUGCAUCUGAUACUGGCAAGCUUGAGUCUCGUAGAGGGGGGUAGAAUUCCAGGUGUAGCGGUGAAAUGCGUAGAGAUCUGGAGGAAUACCGGUGGCGAAGGCGGCCCCCUGGACGGAGACUGACGCUCAGGUGCGAAGGCGUGGGGAGCAAACAGGAUUAGAUACCCUGGUAGUCCACGCCGUAAACGAUGUCGACUUGGAGGUUGUGCCCUUGAGGCGUGGCUUCCGGAGCUAACGCGUUAAGUCGACCGCCUGGGGAGUACGGCCGCAAGGUUAAAACUCAAAUGAAUUGACGGGGGCCCGCACAAGCGGUGGAGCAUGUGGUUUAAUUCGAUGCAACGCGAAGAACCUUACCUGGUCUUGACAUCCACAGAACUUUCCAGAGAUGGAUUGGUGCCUUCGGGAACUGUGAGACAGGUGCAGCAUGGCUGUCGUCAGCUCGUGUUGUGAAAUGUUGGGUUAAGUCCCGCAACGAGCGCAACCCUUAUCUUUUGUUGCCAGCGGUCCGGCCGGGAACUCAAAGGAGACUGCCAGUGAUAAACUGGAGGAAGGUGGGGAUGACGUCAUGUCAUCAUGGCCCUUACGACCAGGGCUACACACGUGCUACAAUGGCGCAUACAAAGAGAAGCGACCUCGCGAGAGCAAGCGGACCUCAUAAAGUGCGUCGUAGUCCGGAUUGGAGUCUGCAACUCGACUCCAUGAAGUCGGAAUCGCUAGUAAUCGUGGAUCAGAAUGCCACGGUGAAUACGUUCCCGGGCCUUGUACACACCGCCCGUCACACCAUGGGAGUGGGUUGCAAAAGAAGUAGGUAGCUUAACCUUCGGGAGGGCGCUUACCACUUUGUGAUUCAUGACUGGGGUGAAGUCGGAACAAGGUAACCGUAGGGGAACCUGCGGUUG
rnacentral:rRNA from 1 species